rnacentral:rRNA from 1 species
UUGACCUCAAAUCAGGUAGGACUACCCGCUGAACUUAAGCAUAUCAAUAAGCGGAGGAAAAGAAACUAACAAGGAUUCCCCUAGUAACUGCGAGUGAAGCGGGAAAAGCUCAAAUUUGAAAUCUGGCAGUCUUUGAUUGUCCGAGUUGUAAUCUAGAGAAGUGUACCUG